GGGAUACACCUAUUGAGUCAGCAAGACAUGCUGGGGGUUUCUGGUUUUCCAACGUGAUGUGAUCUCCCAGCUGGAACAAGGGGAAGAGCCAUGGGUCCCAGAGCUCCAGGGUUCAGAGGAAAGAGAGAUCCUGAGAUCUCCCCGCACAGAUGAGGAAACAUUAAACCAACUCAGAAUCUCAGGUGAUGCAAUGACGUGUGAGAAAGAGGAGCAGAAUUCUCAGCAGGGAAAUGUUGAGCAAGUGGAUAAACACAGAGCAUUAUCG